rnacentral:rRNA from 1 species
AAUGGGGGCAACCCUGAUCUAGCCAUGCCGCGUGAGUGAUGAAGGCCUUAGGGUCGUAAAGCUCUUUCGCCUGUGAUGAUAAUGACAGUAGCAGGUAAAGAAACCCCCGGCUAACUCCGUGCCAGCAGCCGCGGUAAUACGGAGGGGGUUAGCGUUGUUCGGAAUUACUGGGCGUAAAGCGCGCGUAGGCGGAUUAGAAAGUUGGGGGUGAAAUCCCGGGGCUCAACCCCGGAACUGCCUCCAAAACUGCUAGUCUAGAGUUCGAGAGAGGUGAGUGGAAUUCCGAGUGUAGAGGUGAAAUUCGUAGAUAUUCGGAGGAACACCAGUGGCGAAGGCGGCUCACUGGCUCGAUACUGACGCUGAGGUGCGAAAGUGUGGGGAGCAAACAGGAUU